rnacentral:rRNA from 1 species
GACGAACGCUGGCGGCGUGCUUAACACAUGCAAGUCGAACGGAAAGGCCCUGCUUUUGUGGGGUGCUCGAGUGGCGAACGGGUGAGUAACACGUGAGUAACCUGCCCUUGACUUUGGGAUAACUUCAGGAAACUGGGGCUAAUACCGGAUAGGAGCUCCUGCUGCAUGGUGGGGGUUGGAAAGUUUCGGCGGUUGGGAUGGACUCGCGGCUUAUCAGCUUGUUGGUGGGGUAGUGGCUUACCAAGGCUUUGACGGGUAGCCGGCCUGAGAGGGUGACCGGCCACAUUGGGACUGAGAUACGGCCCAGACUCCUACGGGAGGCAGCAGUGGGGAAUAGUGCACAAUGGGCGGAAGCCUGAUGCAGCAACGCCGCGUGCGGGAUGACGGCCUUCGGGUUGUAAACCGCUUUCGCCUGUGACGAAGCGUGAGUGACGGGAAUGGGUAAAGAAGCACCGGCUAACUACGUG